rnacentral:misc_RNA from 1 species
GGAGCGUCAAGAGGGCGUUCAAUUGAUUAGAAAAUAAUCUCCCUUCACCGUUAAUUAGGGUUUCAACUUUCAAUUGAUUGCUGCAUCUUUCACUCAUUAGUCGCAAUCGCAAGGCGCAACCAGUUCUCAGCUAAUCUUAAUCUCUGCUUCAAUUUCUCAGUUUACAGAUAAGCUUGGUUGAUUGACAUUUGAUGAAUUGAUGAUUAUCCGGCUUGCAUAAGGGAUACUUGCUUUAUGUGUUAUUGAAAAAUUGGAGAUUUUUCUGCAGUCUCCUGUUUUGAAGAUUGGGCUUAAUUCCAGGGGACUUGCAUGUGUUGCAUUAGUUAUUUUUUAUCAGCCAAUACAACGCAGAUAAUAUCUAUGAUUUCUUGAGAUGUGCUGUCACCUAUUGUAGCUUUACAAAGGUUGAAAGCCAACUGAAUUGAUUUUGGUAAGCUUUAUAGAAAAUAGCUAAAACGGGUUCACUGUGUUGUGUGGCUGCAAGGCCACAUGGGUCAAAUACGACCAAUGGGGACUGGUCCAUGGGUCAGCAUGAGCCUUACUGGCAAACUAAUACAAGCUUCUCACCACCCCCAUCAAGAUGGGAUUUUAGUUUCCCAUCUGAAGAGCUUCCGUAUGAUUCACGUGAUGGUAACCUACUUUAUACGGUCUCAACAUUAUCAAACAGUAAAGAAAGUAGAUGGAUGAAUGACAACCAUCUUUAUAAUAAUCACUGUUCUGCAUCUGGUGGUGCAGGCCUGCUUUUGAGUAGUCCUCCUGAUCUUUCUCCCGGUCCUCAGUGGACGCCUCCAGUCAUACAGGAAAUUAAUGCUGAUGAUUAUGAAACUGCAACAAAGAGAGGUCAAGUUUUGCUGCAAUUACCUUCCACUCCUAUUAUAGCAGUAUGUAUUCUGUCUGCUGUUGGCAUAUCUAUUAUCUUGCUAUGAUUCAACUUCCUGAAUAGGAUUAAUCCUCUACAGGGAACUUCUGGAAAACCAGAUAGUGGGGGAUCCACUUCAUCCUUUUCAGAUAGCUAUGAGUCCGAGCCCACAUUCAAGUCAUGCCUAUCCUCUCAUUACAACUUUUCAGGUCGUCGUUCCUUUUUGUCAAAACCCAUCCACCCUUUGUUCUUUCCCACCCAAGCUCCAAAAGAAGCUUCUGAAACCCCAGAUACUGGGCUGUCUGAGUUUGACGCUGCUACUGUGCAAAGAGAUGCCCACCGUUGGAGCAGUGCUAGCAGUAGCAUAGAUUCUUCAGACGUUUCUGAACCAUUUGAAUCUGAAAUUUUAGGUCGAUUAUGUAUUUCAUCUGAUGGUUUUAAAUGUGGAUUGUGUGAAAGAUUUCUUUCACAAAGAUCCCCUUGGAGUUCACGGCGGAUUGUGAGGAGUGGAGACAUGCCUGUGGCUGGGGUCCUUUCAUGUUGUCAUGUUUUUCAUGCAGAAUGUUUGGAGCAGACAACACCCAAAGCACAUAAAAACGACCCUCCUUGCCCUCUCUGUGUCAGAUUGGAGGAGAAAAAUUCCACAGACCUCCAAGUUUUCCCCAAGUUGAGGAAUGGUUUCCCAAUUUCUAAACCAUCUUCUGAGUAUGGACCAUCUAGGCCCUGGGGCUGUGUGCCAAUGGGAGAUUUUGUUGAAGGUGCACUACAUGAACCCCAUCGGAAUACCAUGUUGCUACUCAACAGGAGCCGAAUGAGAAAGAAUCUUUCUUUGAAGGGGAACUCUAGCAAGGAAUUUCCAGGAAAGCUGAGGAAGAGUGAUUCGUAUUCUUCACAGCCACUGAAUGGAAAAUCUGUUGAUUUUGGAACAGUUGGGUGUUCAAAGACAACAACAACAAAUCCAAGUAUGAAGAGAUUAUAUUAGUAUUACCUUCUCUUUUUAGUUUGCUAAUUGAUUCUGUCUCAUGUUAGCUGGGUAGAUGCCUGGCAAUUGGCAAUGAGAAUGAACAACUAGGUCAUUCUGUAUAGUAAUUUUAUGCCAACUUUUGAAUUGAAAUUGCGGUUGGAAUUUAGGCAAUUGCAUCAUGUAGAAUUACUUCAUAUUUGCUGAAAGAUUGACCUUUUCUUUUCUUUAAUUCUAUUGCUUCUAUGUAUGUUGCUACCAAAAUAGUUAGCCACCUUUUAGAUUG